GGGUACCAGUAGCCGAUGCCGAACUGACGGCAGGGGCAGAGACUCUGGAGAAGUUGCAGACGCUUCGUGUUAGGGAAGUUGCAUUGCUACAACAGAUUUUUAAGCAACAGAGCAAUCCAGCCAAGUUUAUAUUUUAGAGAGAGAACAUCUUCCAUGUGGAGGAUCAGUUGAAAUAGAAGAGAUUGUUAGAAUUGUAGGGCGGUAGUAUUCCAGGCAGGAGAUGACGAAUGCCAGACACCACCUAGUCACAGACAUAGCUUUUGCAGAGAUCAGCUACAUGUUGUUGUUUUUUAUUUACUCUCUCAUAUAAUUUUUUUUAAGUCCUGGACCACAAAAUACUGUGGCAUCGUUGGAAAAAUCUGAGACUCGAUUCUAGUCUUUUUUCUGUUUGCCUGCUCUGCAGCUUGGGCUUACGUUCUCAAGCCUUACUUUUUCAUUGUGAAAUAAGAACGGUGCUACUUAACCCGAGAACUCCCCAGGCACAUAGACCCGUGGCGUGUGAGGAGCAGUGAAGGAGAGAAGGAAUGGAAGUGCUUUGGGGACCCCAAGAGCCCUUCAGAAACCGUUUGUUCUUUUUAAUAUUGAGCAUUAAAAGUGAAGGCAUUCCAUUUGUUUCACUCAAAAACAAAUUCUGUUCUUCUGAUAGCCUGUUUUUUUUUUCCACUCCCUUUUUCUAUAGUCAGAUCAGUUCCUGAUGGGCAUUCUCCAGUCCACACUAUUGCAUCUGAUUGGAGGCUAUGCAAAAUUUCCCAGAGACAAUGAAUUUUGACGACAGACUUCUUGGUGUCCACUGUACCCAUGGUUUCAACAGGACUGGCUACCUCAUGUGCAGAGCACGGGCUCCAGACGCGCAGGCUCAGUAGUUGUGGCUCACGGACCCAGUCGCUCCGGGGCAUGUGCGAUCUUCCCAGACCAGAGCUCGAAUCCGUGUCCCGUGCAUUGGCAGGCAGAUUCUCAACACUGCGCCACCAGGGAAACUCCGGAAUAAAGCCUUUUUGUAGUCAUGAUAUUUGAUUGAUGUAGAAGGCAUGUGGCCAGAUGAUGCAAUUGAAUACUGGUGUUUUAUCUUUACAAGUUCUCCGUCAUUCCAUAAGAAAGCUGCUCGUCUUCUGGUUUCAUAAGAGAUGGUGAACAGUGUCAGAUCAGUUCCUGAUGGGCAUUCUCCAGUCCACACUAUUGCAUCUGAUUGGAGGCUAUGCAAAAUUUCCCAGAGACAAUGAAUUUUGACGACAGACUUCUUGGUGUCCACUGUACCCAUGGUUUCAACAGGACUGGCUACCUCAUGUGCAGAUAUUUGAUUGAUGUAGAAGGCAUGUGGCCAGAUGAUGCAAUUGAAUACUGGUGUUUUAUCUUUACAAGUUCUCCGUCAUUCCAUAAGAAAGCUGCUCGUCUUCUGGUUUCAUAAGAGAUGGUGAACAGUGGUAAAAUAUCCAGUUGACCGAAAUUUCUAGAGUACACUUCAGGGAGCGAGUGAUGGGGUGGAAUGUUGGGGCAGAGUGAGAGAUACAGAUUCUGGUGAGACUGAGAGUCAUGCACAAAAAUUACUGGGCUGUGGUGAAGGGAGAACAAAACUAAAUCAGGUUCCUGCUGGUGGACAGGAAGCCAAGAUGAAGAAGAAUGGUGCGUAGCUGGGCAGUGUAAUUAGGCCCCUAAGUGCUGUGUCUCCUGAUAGUAAUUAUGAACAGAAACCAAAUAAUAGUUACUAAUAACAUGGAGGUGACCAAUCCUUGAGAGCUGAGGCAGAGAGAAGGAAAGAUGGCAUUAUGCCUUGUCUCUGGUGCCUUGAGUUUCCCAGGCUGGUUUGUGACCAAUCUUGGGUGAAAUCAUAACUAAGUCAUUUCUGCUAAGGUGAUCAGCUUUCGUGGGGUCCUUUCUCUGCACUCUGUCCAAUGGUAAAGCCCACUGGUUUAUGCCUCCUGGAAAACAGUUAUUCCAAAGCAGUAUAAGUGAAGCAUUGAUGAAACAGCCAUGAAGAGCAUGUUUCCACAUGGCCUCGCACCACCUUUUCAAAGUGCUGUAAAACUUUUUUCAUCCAAAAAUCAGUAACAGAAAAGGAUUGGGAUCAAAUCCCGUACAGAGGUAGUGUAAGAAAAAAGAGAAUAAGGAGCAGAAUAGCAUGUCUUCAGACAAUAAAAUCAAGUUGGAAAAGACAGGUCCACAAAACAGAUCAAAACUGUAACCUAUUAUUUCAAAGUGGGCUAAAAGAUGUUAGGAAAAACAAUGCGAAAGAUGAAAGAACAUGGAUCGAGGAGGGAAUGGGAAGUUAUUGUUUAGUGGCUAUAGAGUCUCUGUUUGGGAUGGUGGAAAAGUUCUGGAAAUGGUAAAUGCUGAUAAAUGCCACCUAUGGGUGUUUGGUUUUAGUUGAUCUUCUUCCAUGAAAGGGUUUGGAGAGAUUCAGAAGCUAUGCUGCUGCCUCCAUCUUUCUGAUGUCCUGCUCAAUCUUUUGACAUAAUUAUUUUGAAUUUGCACAGUGGUGAUGGUUGCACAGCAUUGUGAAUGUAUUUAAUGUCACUGAAUUGUAUACUUGAAAAUGGUUGAAAUAAUAAAUUUUGUUUUAUGUA